rnacentral:rRNA from 1 species
CCUACGGGAGGCAGCAGUGGGGAAUAUUGCACAAUGGGGGAAACCCUGAUGCAGCGACGCCGCGUGAGUGAAGAAGUAUCUCGGUAUGUAAAGCUCUAUCAGCAGGGAAGAAAAUGACGGUACCUGACUACGAAGCCCCGGCUAACUACGUGCCAGCAGCCGCGGUAAUACGUAGGGGGCAAGCGUUAUCCGGAUUUACUGGGUGUAAAGGGAGCGUAGACGGCGCUGCAAGUCCGGAGUGAAAGCCCAGGGCUUAACCAUGGUACUGCUCUGGAAACUGUGGAGCUUGAGUGCGGGAGGGGCAGGCGGAAUUCCUAGGGUAGCGGUGAAAUGCGUAGAUAUUAGGAGGAACACCGGCGGCGAAGGCGGCCUGCUGGACCGUAACUGACGUUGAGGCUCGAAAGCGUGGGGAGCAAACAGGAUUAGAUACCCCUGUAGUC